GGGAUGCUGGGAUGUGUUUUUAUUCUAGGAUACUAUGUAUCCAGCUAAAUCCAGAAGGCUGUAAGCUACCCCAGGGAGAUGGACAGUGAGGGCAGCGCGGCCCCGGAACCCCUGGGGUGUGUCAGCUGCGUUGAGGAACUUCCGUCUGUGACUAUAACUAGUUCUGGGCAGAUGCCUCCAGGAAAACUACACUACAACCGCAGCUGCCUGCUGCCAAUGUGGACACAUCUGACUGCAAAUCAGACUGUUGCAGUUACAACUUGUUUAAGCAGCCUGCGUUGAAUUCUAGACCACCUUGCUUGCCCUAUAGCUAUUCUCAAUCGGGCCGGGUGGGGAGCACUACCUCACUGGCCUAGCAGAAGGCCUGCCUGUGAUUGGUGCAAGAACAACUCUUCAUUUGCA